CGUUGACCCGGCCAAAUCGA
rnacentral:snRNA from 1 species